UGUGAGAACGGAUCGUGACGGGUUAUUCAAGCAGCUCUUAGGUGGUAAACUAAUACCGGAGCAUACGCAAGCAGGAGCUAAAGAAACGUAAUCUAGUGAUGGAGUGACGCAUAGUCUCAGACUCUGUGGUGGAGCAGAGGACUGUCUGAAGACAACCUAUCCAACCUGCCACAGUCAGAACUGAGAUUUCUCUGCUGAAGAUUGGAAGAGCAAGAGGCGGGGGCUGCAACUGCAGCUCCUGGGCAGAUGGAAGAAGGAAAAUGUCUCCCAUCAAGAAAAAGAGGGCCCUGCUUGAAAGUCUAACUCUCCCCUGUGCCUUUUCUGAAGAACUUAUAAUUACACCGAAUACCUUCACUGCAUAAUCUUUGCACAGAGAAUUUAUGUUGACAUCAAUUGCAGCCCAGCAUGAAAGAAAUGCAUUAUACACAGCCUAAAUCCACAAAUCUGGUGGAAGAUCUACAGAGAACAGCUAAAAGGUUUUGCCUUAAAAUUGUAACAGAGAUAGGGGCAGGAGGUAGAUUCAUAUUGUCGGAAGAUUGUUCUCUAAUUCCCUAACACUGUUCCACCCAAAAUGUGUGAAAAUGGAUGUUAAGGAAGAACUGAGGGCACUAUAUUUUCAUUUGCCAUCUAGAAAUUUUCAGACAAUUUACAAAUAAUUUUAACUGCCGGAGGUAAAAAGUUGAGAGGUGUCUGGAUGAAUUUGAGUUUAGAAACACUGCUGCUUCUAUGAAGCACCUUUGACUUGAGACUUGUUUUAUUUGCUAUCUUCAAUAUGCAUUGGAUUAGAGUUUCCUUGAUGAGGAGGAAGCAAAGAAUGUAUAAGCCAGUGAUAUGCGCAAUUAAAGAGUUUGUAUUGAAAAAUUCAUCCCACAGAGAAUCACAUCAUAUCUUCCAAGAUAAUGUAACUUCCAAAAAGCUUUGAUGAUGUCUUUCUCCCCGUUACUUUCUAUUCGCAGAAUACCAUAUUCCACAAAGGUUUAUGUAAACAUAACAUUGAGGUGAAAAAAACCAGCAAAGACUGCAUGUGACUAAGCAGUGUUGCCAGCCCAAGAGAAAUUGCUAUUAUGCUCAGAAAUAAAUAGCUUAAAAUGUC